GUAGGGUGCGAGCGUUAAUCGGAAUUACUGGGCGUAAAGCGUGCGCAGGCGGUUAUGUAAGACAGAUGUGAAAUCCCCGGGCUCAACCUGGGAACUGCAUUUGUGACUCGAUGGCUAGAGUACGGUAGAGGGGGAUGGAAUUCCGCGUGUAGCAGUGAAAUGCGUAGAUAUGCGGAGGAACACCGAUGGCGAAGGCAAUCCCCUGGACCUGUACUGACGCUCAUGCACGAAAGCGUGGGGAGCAAACAGGAUUAGAUACCCUGGUAGUCCACGCCCUAAACGAUGUCAACUGGUUGUUGGGAAUUAGUUUUCUCAGUAACGAASUAACGCGUGAAGUUGACC
rnacentral:rRNA from 1 species